rnacentral:rRNA from 1 species
AGUGGCGAACGGGUGAGUAACACGUGAGUAACCUGCCCUUGACUCUGGGAUAAGCCUGGGAAACUGGGUCUAAUACCGGAUAUGACUCCUCAUCGCAUGGUGGGGGGUGGAAAGCUUUUUUGUGGUUUUGGAUGGACUCGCGGCCUAUCAGCUUGUUGGUGGGGUAAUGGCUUACCAAGGCGAUGACGGGUAGCCGGCCUGAGAGGGUGACCGGCCACACUGGGACUGAGACACGGCCCAGACUCCUACGGGAGGCAGCAGUGGGGAAUAUUGCACAAUGGGCGCAAGCCUGAUGCAGCGACGCCGCGUGAGGGAUGACGGCCUUCGGGUUGUAAACCUCUUUCAGUAGGGAAGAAGCCGUGAGGUGACGGUACCUGCAGAAGAAGCGCCGGCUAACUACGUGCCAGCAGCCGCGGUAAUACGUAGGGCGCAAGCGUUAUCCGGAAUUAUUGGGCGUAAAGAGCUCGUAGGCGGUUUGUCGCGUCUGCUGUGAAAGACCGGGGCUCAACUCCGGUUCUGCAGUGGGUACGGGCAGACUAGAGUGCAGUAGGGGAGACUGGAAUUCCUGGUGUAGCGGUGAAAUGCGCAGAUAUCAGGAGGAACACCGAUGGCGAAGGCAGGUCUCUGGGCUGUAACUGACGCUGAGGAGCGAAAGCAUGGGGAGCGAACAGGAUUAGAUACCCUGGUAGUCCAUGCCGUAAACGUUGGGCACUAGGUGUGGGGGACAUUCCACGUUUUCCGCGCCGUAGCUAACGCAUUAAGUGCCCCGCCUGGGGAGUACGGCCGCAAGGCUAAAACUCAAAGGAAUUGAC